AGAUGUGAGAAGGAUCUGGCUGGGGUUCAUUUGGCUGAUCUGGCUGGCUAGGUGGGUGUCCCUUUCUUCCCUCACUGUUCCAUGUGCAUCCCUCCUGAAGCUGUGUGCUUGGUAGAAGAGGACGGCUUUCCCUGAAUAGAGAUGGACAGGUCUUCUGUAGAGGGUAUAAGGGUAGUUGUGCUCCCCUGCUAGAACCUCCAAACAAGCUCUCAAGGAGGGAGGGGGGAGGGAGUGAGAGUAGGAGG
rnacentral:snRNA from 1 species